AAUUCGAUUAACGCGAAGACCUUUACCCAGGCUUGAACAGCGAUUGACAUCCGGCGAAAGCCGGCUCCCGCAAGGGCAGUCGUAGAGGUGCUGCAUGGCUGUCGUCAGCUCGUGUCGUAAGAUGUUGGGUUAAGUCCCGCAACGAGCGCAACCCCUUGUCCUCUGUUGCCAUCAGGUUAUGCUGGGCACUCUGAGGAGACUGCCGGUGAUAAACCGGAGGAAGGUGGGGAUGACGUCAAGUCAGCAUGGCCUUUAUGUCUGGGGCUACACACGUGCUACAAUGGCCGAUACAAACCGUCGCGAUGCCGUAAGGUGGAGCUAAUCGGAGAAAGUCGGUCUCAGUUCGGAUUGCAGGCUGCAACUCGCCUGCAUGAAGUUGGAAUCGCUAGUAAUCACGGAUCAGCACGCCGCGGUGAAUACGUUCCCGGGCCUUGUCACACCGAAUCACUA
rnacentral:rRNA from 1 species